CCGCCUGGGGAGUACGGCCGCAAGGUUAAAACUCAAAUGAAUUGACGGGGGCCCGCACAAGCGGUGGAGCAUGUGGUUUAAUUCGAUGCAACGCGAAGAACCUUACCUGGUCUUGACAUCCACAGAAGAAUCCAGAGAUGGAUUUGUGCCUUCGGGAACUGUGAGACAGGUGCUGCAUGGCUGUCGUCAGCUCGUGUUGUGAAAUGUUGGGUUAAGUCCCGCAACGAGCGCAACCCUUAUCCUUUGUUGCCAGCGGUUAGGCCGGGAACUCAAAGGAGACUGCCAGUGAUAAACUGGAGGAAGGUGGGGAUGACGUCAAGUCAUCAUGGCCCUUACGACCAGGGCUACACACGUGCUACAAUGGCGCAUACAAAGAGAAGCGACCU
rnacentral:rRNA from 4 species